UACGUAGGGGCAAGCGUUGUCCGGAUUUAUUGGGCGUAAAGAGCGUGUAGGCGGCUAGGUAGGUCCGUUGUGAAAACUCGAGGCUCAACCUCGAGACGCCGAUGGAAACCAUCUGGCUAGAGUCCGGAAGAGGAGAGUGGAAUUCCUGGUGUAGCGGUGAAAUGCGUAGAUAUCAGGAGGAACACCGGUGGUGUAGACGGCUUCUGGACCGUAACUGACGCUGAGACACGAAAGCGUGGGUAGCAAACAGG
rnacentral:rRNA from 1 species